rnacentral:rRNA from 1 species
GCUUACGGCCAUACCACCCUGAAAAAGCCCGAUUUUGUACAAUCUAGAAAGCUAAGCAGGGCCAGGCCUGGUUAGUACUUGGAUAGGAGACCGCCUGGGAAUACCAGGUACUGUAAGCU